AAAAGUUAUCAUGCUUCUGACUUUCUAGAAUCUGUGGUAAAGUAGCUUACCUGCUUGGUUAGAGAUUCCAGUUCAUGUGGUCAGUUUUUUUGAGAAAAAGUUCAUGUGGUCAUUGGUGAGUAGAUUCUUUUGAGUAUGCUUUCAUGAGACAUUUUUUCUCUUCAUGUGUUUUCUUACCAAUGCAUGUCAUUUUCAGAAAAGCCAUGUUAGCUUUGUGUGUUUUCUUAUGGUUCCAAGGUAGAAUAAUUUGAUCCUGAUCGGGAAUUGCUACUUCCAAGUCUGUUCUCUUAUGGUUUUAAGGUAAAGUAUUGGCCCUGGUCAGAACUGCUACUUUCUGGUCUACUUCCAAGGCUGAUUAUUUGGCUUGCAUCAAUACAAUCUCUUUAUAGAUGCCCCAUGUUCCUUUUGAUUAUAAGAUACAAGGGAUGUACUGUUACUUAUUCCCCUCUCAGUUCUUUGUUGAUGCUCGGCUUGUUGCUCAGCCACUAACUAAAUUAAAUAUUAUUGACUUUAUUUUGUACUUUUGUGUUUUUAUCAGAUUACUGCCGAGAGUCUGUUCAAGAACCUCAUCCAGGGGAAGGCACUGAUGUGUCCUCAGAAUGAUGAAUUACUAUGGUAGUGUUAGAAGUCUGGGGAUGUAGCUAGCUUAUGGCAUUUUUUUAUCAAUUUGUGUUUCAACAGUGGUUCUACAAAUUGCUAAUAAGUACUAAAUCCUCCUUCUGGUAGAUGUUUCUUUUUUCUCUAUUGCCUCGUACCUCUGUAACAAACUAACAGGCACCAAUUUUAAUAGUGAUAAGGUGCAUUUGACACUAAGUUUUAAUGGACUAUCAUGGUUUAUGAUUCUUACCCUGCACAAUAUUAUACAUUUGUAUUCCAUUCUAAACUGAGCAGCAUCUGAUAACUAAAAAAUUGACAUUGCUUAUAGGAGAUUCCUCCAUCUCCUGCCGGGCUAGGAUCACAUCACUGAUAUUUAGGUCAACGCCAAGGCGUGUGCUAUGUAACCAGCUGACUAUUUUUGUUCGUUAAAUUGCAUGUGGCACUAUCAAAAGCUAUAGCAAGUUCAAAUAUUAGGUUCGUAGCAGUGCCGUCUGCUGAGAACGACAUCACAUCAAUAAGAGGAAAGGG
rnacentral:lncRNA from 1 species